CCAUCCGCCAGAGAACUACGAGUGAAAAGCUUAAAACUCUAAGGACUUGACGGUGCCCCACAUCAACCUAGAGGAGCCUGUCCUAUAAUCGAUACUCCACGUUAAACCUCUCCCCCCCUAGUAUUAAACCAGCCUAUAUACCGCCGUCGCCAGCUUGCCUAGUGAUAGACACAAAGCAGGCAAAAUAGUACAACCACUAGCACGUCAGGUCAAGGUGUAGCUCAUGGGGCGGUUAGAGAUGGGCUACAUUUUCUAACCACUAGAAAACACUUCAGGCACUAUGAAACACAAGCCGUUCGGCGGAUUUAGUAGUAAAUCUAGACAAGAACUGCCUAAUUGAAACAUGCCCUGGGGCGCGUACACACCGCCCGUCACCCUCCUCAAAACCACCAAUACAAAUAUAUAAACCUAAACCACCAUACUAGAUGAGGUAAGUCGUAACAUGGUAAGCGUACCGGAAGGUGAGCUUGGCACACCA
rnacentral:rRNA from 1 species